GGCUCACAAUGGGUUACAGCAAUCACAGAAGACCAUCUUGCCCUGAGGUUGGCAACCCCUGAGAGAGAAAUGGGACUUGCCUUCUGAAACAGAGAUUCAGAGGCAUGAAAGGCAUAGCCCAGUAGUUCACUUAAUGUGGCCAUGAGUGUAUGAGGUGAUGGCUUUUCACGUGGCUGCAAACCAGGAAGCAGAGGAGUCUGGAACAAGGGACUGAACCAUAAUCUUCAAUGCCCCUGGGCUACUUUCUGCCAGCAGGAUAAACUCAGCUGUGGCUGUUUGGAAAGUUUGGGAGCCAUCCAGUGCGCACCAUGCAGCUCUGACAGAAGACUCAUUUCUCCUCCAAGUAUCCUUUUGUUUCUGCCUACUGGGAGGCCACAAGCGCAGAGUCAGGAUGAACCUGUGGCUCUAACUGGACCUCGCCCUGUGUUGCAAGUGCUUCCCGUGACCUACAGAAAGGAGGCUUGGUCGCUGCACGUAUGUUGUCUCACCUCCUUGUAGGGGGCCUUAAAGGUGGUCUGUGACGGAAAUGCCAUUCCAAGAUGAUCAAGGAAGCACAGAAACAGAGGACUUCCUCCCCGUGUAUAUGAACUCAAGGGCUGAGGCCCCUCCAGGCUGCAGCCCCUCUGGAUGCCUGUAUCCCAAUCCUCACUGCCUUGCCCGAACCUUCUGAGAGUAUUGAUUGACAGCUGAAGAGGUGUUCAUCUGGGCUGAAGUCAAGUUGAUGAAAGCUGCAGUUUAGAUUGUAGGCUGGGAGUAGGGUUCUGCAUAAAAACAAUAAGAAACAAAAAAAUGGAUUAAAGGACAUGGUGGUUUAUGUUAAAA